AUUCGGACUGAAUAUCAUCUCUGUGCAGGUCUGCUGGUGUAGAGCAGCUGAUGUACAUCAAAGAGGAUCUGAUAAUUCCACAUCAUCACAGUUUUUAUGACUUCAUAGUGACCAAAGCCAGAGGCAAAUCUGGUCCUCUUUUCAGCUUCGACGUCCAUGA